rnacentral:rRNA from 1 species
UACGUAGGGUGCGAGCGUUGUCCGGAAUUAUUGGGCGUAAAGAGCUCGUAGGCGGUGUGUCACGUCGGCCGUGAAAACCUGGGGCUUAACUCUGGGCGUGCGGUCGAUACGGGCAUCACUAGAGUUCGGCAGGGAAGACUGGAAUUCCUGGUGUAGCGGUGAAAUGCGCAGAUAUCAGGAGGAACACCGGUGGCGAAGGCGGGUCUCUGGGCCGAUACUGACGCUGAGGAGCGAAAACAUGGGUAGCGAACAGG